GGGUGGAGUGAAUGCUGGCAAAAUCUAUAAAGCAUGUCCCAACCCAGUGCUUCUCAAAUACACCUGUAGUGCCUCUGGGUUAGAGCAUAAGUUUUUGGUAUUUUGGUAUUUUUAAGAUACAAGAACAUGGCCAGCCUGAAUAGUGAUGAACUUUUAAAACUGUUCACUGAGUUUGCUAUGAAAGAGGGUAGUACUCAUCUGCUCUCCAUGACAGGUGUUAACAACUUGCUUCAGACUCACUUCUCAAAACUUGUGGGUCCAAUCUCACUUGGUGAUAUAGCCAAAUACGUGGAGCUAGAUAAAGAUGGAAAAGUCAACUUUAAUAUUUUUAAGGCACUGAUAAGCAAGCUACAAGGAUUUUCUAGUUUGAGUGGAUUAACAAAUCUGUUUCCCUAAACAUCCCAUGAAGAGGAAGAAAAUAGAGGGGAGGGGAUGCAACCUGGACCAACACUACUAUGAACAUUAAGUAUGCCUUUUCAUAAAAAAAAAAUUCUAAAAUUAAAUUUAGUCAUUGUGGAAAUAUAGGUAUUUAAUAAAAAAUAUAGUUUGGCUUAAAACCAUGCUUAUAUGAUGAUUGGCAAAAAUAUGGUAGUCAUUUCUCUCCAGUAAUUUCAAAAGAGAAACUCUAAAAUGCUACAGAAAGUUUAUCCUAGUGGGGCAAUUACAUCUGCUACCUCUAAGAGAAACUACAUGAGACACCCGGGCACAUGUCGGGUCCUGCAAAGUUCCUUGGGUAGUGUAGUCUUACAAAGAACAGCAGCUUGAUGCAAUUCUCUGCUGGGGGAAGAGUGAUGGGAGAGAUUCUGUCUCUCUCUCUUUCUUGCAAAAAGCCUUGGAUUGGGUUUUCCUCCAGGAGCUCAGGGACGGGGGAAGGGUGCAUAACAGGAGGCAGGAGAUCCAGGGUGGCUUUUUGCGAAAGAGAGAGAGAGAGAAUUUGCAAAUCUUUUUCCCACCGCUGGGAAGAAGAACAGUGGGAGGGCUCUCUCUAUGUCUCUCUUGUAGCUCAUGUAGUUUGGCUCUGUGAUUACAAGUGGAUCCUGAAAAUCUCGUAGUUGGUUGACAGCUUGUGUGGCUAAUAGUGUGAGCUGUAAACUGGAAAGACCCAACUCCAAAUCUAGCCUCAGACACAAACUACAUGGAUAUGUAAAUCUUUAAUUAAGAAACUCAUGAAGCCUCAAAGCCACUUCAUUCACAGAAGGGUACAGCAGAAUGCAACACAGGUUCCUGCAACUGGAUGGAACUAUGAAGCUUCUGGAUUGACCAUGCGCAGUACAAUUAUUGGAAGUCCCAUUUUCUGCCCUUGUUUGUUAACAAGGAAGUAUUUUCUACAUUCCUUCAUGCUUCAGUGAAGCCCAUAACCAAACUCCAGCAAUGGAGCUCAGAAACCCUACGCUGGAAAACACACACCAGAUCUACACAGCUGCCCCCAGCCCAAUCAGAACCCUAAAAUUAACUCCUGUAAUUGCCCUUUUAUGCCACAGUACUAAACUGCUGAGGUUUAAGAUUAGUUGAGAGGGAAGACUAGUAGUCUUGCACUAUUGAGAUCGGAAGAUUCCCAACAGUUUGUUCCUCCUGAGAUUCCACAUGCAUUCCAGAUUAUCAUAUUCAAAGCUAAGUUAAUGAACACAACAUCUUUUACUAACAAAUUCCACAUUUUAAUGUGUUGUGUGAAAUAGCACAUCUUUUGCCAGUCCUGAAUUCACUGGCCAUAAAUUUCAAUCAGAGGCACUGUUAUAGUCCUACACAAGAGCAAAUAUUUCUUUCUAGCCAAUCUCUCUACAAUACCUGCUCAUACUUUUCUAAAACUAUAUAUACCUCUUCUAACUUUGUUUGAAAAGGUAAUAAAAACAAAUGCUUUAAACUUUUUCUUGUAAGGAAUGUGCUCUAAACCCUUGUCAGUUUUGUCUUCUUAAUGUGCCUGUUCAAUUUCAAAGGUAUCUUUUUGAAAGCAGGGCAACCAGAACUGUGCGCCGUAUUAUAAAUGUGAAUACAAGAAAUAGUUACACAAUGCAUUCAUAAUACAUUAUUUUAUUUCCAAACCGUUUCACUGCUGCAGCACACUGAUAUUUUCUAUGAGCUUUUCAUGGUUCCAAGAUGAGACCCUGUCAAUAUGUGAAGUUUGCAUUUGGUACGUGUAUUGCUGGGCACUUAAAAAUGAUUCAUUUCAUCUGCUGUUCUACUGUUGAAUGUGAUGUUUAAUAGCACUCAUUCCAAUACCUUGCUGUUAACCUUUCUUCAUUGUGAUUAUAAUUAUUAUAAAUUUAUAAUUCUAUUUGUUCCUAUUUGCCAGUUCCUUGUUUUAACCAGCUAUUGCUCCAUAAUAAACUUCGUACCCCAUCACAUAGUUGCCAUUAGAAGCCUUUAAUAAGAGACUUUGUCAAAAGCAUUUUGAAAACUCUAAGCACACACAUUUCUCCAGUGUGUGUGUGAUCUCUCUGUACAUGCUAGCCUGUUCUGGACCACAAUGAAAUGAUAACAAUAUUCAUUAUUUUAUAUAUGAUUGUAUGACUGCACCAGAUUUUUAAAAACAGAUUUGAUUAAAACCAAUGUUUUGCAAGGGAAGGCUUGCAUUAAU